GUAGUCCACGCCCUAAACGAUGUCAACUAGUUGUCGGGUCUUCAUUGACUUGGUAACGUAGCUAACGCGUGAAGUUGACCGCCUGGGGAGUACGGUCGCAAGAUUAAAACUCAAAGGAAUUGACGGGGACCCGCACAAGCGGUGGAUGAUGUGGAUUAAUUCGAUGCAACGCGAAAAACCUUCCUACCCUUGACAUGUAUGGAACCCUGCUGAGGGGUGGGGGUGCCCGAAAGGGAGCCAGUAACACAGGUGCUGCAUGGCUGUCGUCGAGCUCGUGUCGUGAGAUGUUGGGUUAAGUCCCGCAACGAGCGCAACCCUUGUCCCUAGUUGCUACGCAAGAGCACUCUAGGGAGACUGCCGGUGACAAACCGGAGGAAGGUGGGGAUGACGUCAAGUCCUCAUGGCCCUUAUGGGUAGGGCUUCACACGUCAUACAAUGCUCGGAACAGAGGGUCGCCAACCCGGCGAGGGGGGAGCCAAUCCCCAGAAAAACCGAUCGUAGUCCGGAUCGCACUCUGCAACUCGAGUGCGUGAAGCUGGAAUCGCUAGUAAUCGCGGAUCAGCAUGCCGCGGUGAAACUCGU
rnacentral:rRNA from 1 species